UACGAAGGGGGCUAGCGUUGCUCGGAAUUACUGGGCGUAAAGCGCACGUAGGCGGCUUUCUAAGUCGGGGGUGAAAUCCUGGAGCUCAACUCCAGAACUGCCUUCGAUACUGGAAAGCUCGAGUCCGGGAGAGGUGAGUGGAACUGCGAGUGUAGAGGUGAAAUUCGUAGAUAUUCGCAAGAACACCAGUGGCGAAGGCGGCUCACUGGCCCGGUACUGACGCUGAGGUGCGAAAGCGUGGGGAGCGAACAGG
rnacentral:rRNA from 1 species